rnacentral:rRNA from 1 species
UACGGGGGGGGCAAGCGUUGUUCGGAAUUACUGGGCGUAAAGGGCUCGUAGGCGGCCAACUAAGUCAGACGUGAAAUCCCUCGGCUUAACCGGGGAACUGCGUCUGAUACUGGUUGGCUUGAAUCCGGGAGAGGGAUGUGGAAUUCCAGGUGUAGCGGUGAAAUGCGUAGAUAUCUGGAGGAACACCGGUGGCGAAGGCGGCAUCCUGGACCGGUAUUAACGCUGAGGAGCGAAAGCCAGGGGAGCAAACGGG